UACGUAGGUGGCGAGCGUUGUCCGGAUUUACUGGGCGUAAAGGGAGCGUAGGCGGACUUUUAAGUGAGAUGUGAAAUACCCGGGCUCAACUUGGGUGCUGCAUUUCAAACUGGAAGUCUAGAGUGCAGGAGAGGAGAAUGGAAUUCCUAGUGUAGUGGUGAAAUGUGUAGAGAUUAGGAAGAACACCAGUGGCGAAGGCGAUUCUCUGGACUGUAACUGACGCUGAGGCUCGAAAGCGUGGGGAGCAAACAGGAUUAGAUACCCU
rnacentral:rRNA from 1 species